AGUAAUCCAAAGCUCAAACAUCUGAAAGUUGGCUCUAUCUAAUUCCUGUCCAGAAUCAAACAAGCAAAAGCUUCCUAAGAAAUACAGUUUGGAGCUUUUCCAGGUUGGAACCUUCAAGUCCCUGUCAGCAGAAGCCUGUGAGUUAGAGAGAAAUUUGCAAAAAUCUGACACCUGCCACUUUCCAUUGAGCUUUGGGUGGAAAAUGUCCCUGGCUUCUUCCAUUUUUAAUGUCAGACUCAGCCUGGCGGAAGAGAUUACCUCCAGGAAUGGAGCAAGCAUGAUAAAAAUGAUAGAGAUCUGAUCACCUCAAGGGACAGAAGAGAUGCUACAAGUCAGCAGUUGGGGAACCUCCAGCUUCUCAGAAAUGUAACAGCCCCCAGAUGUGUAGGAAAGCAAACAGCCUCCUCCUAUGCAAUCUAUCAGCACUUCCACAACUCUAUGCUGCAAUUAGGAAUGAAACAAUCAUUAAGAAGUUACAAGAGUUUGCCAGAGUCUAUUGGGUGUAUUCAGCAUCAGCAUGGAUGUUGGUGAGCCUUAGAUUUGAAAGUAUUUCUGUAAGAAAUUGAACUUUGAAACACUCGGAUUUUUCUCCCCACAUUCUCCAAGAUCAAGGUUUCCAUCCUACUAGGGGGUACAGCAUGGAAGAACUGGCAAACCAUUACACCUAUUUCAAUGGGAACUACAUCAUACUGUGUUAGAGAGGUAAUGAUCCAUUGUUGGACAGCAUACAAGGUAUGCAGACAGCUCCAAAUAAAAAGGAUGCUGCCUUGGAGGUGAUACGUUCAGACUAAGACUCAAGUAAUAGCCUGUAGGUUGCCUACACUUACCAGCCCUGACAGAAUAUUGAGAUCCAACAGCUCCCUUGCUUGCCUAUAUACACUUACUGGGGAACCUGACAUUCCUCCAGGCCAUCUCCAGCCCGAAGUCAAGGCACUCAAAUUCAUCAGCCAGCUAUCUCAGACACCUAAAUGCCCAAUGGAGAUGCUUGGGGAAGUCUUGCACAUCUGUACAUUCCCCACUGAGCUUAAUGGAUUCCUUUAGUAGAACACAAAGUAGAUUUUUUAGUCACAUCUUCAGAAACUUGCUUCAAGUGUCAUUUUGAGCUGAAUAUUAUAACCUGAAUGUUCUAAAAUAGA